CCUGCCUUAAUGCCUGGGAUAACAGUUGGAAACGAUUGCUAAUACCGGAUAAUUUCUUGAUAGACAUCUAUUAAGAAUAAAAGUUGGGAUACAACACAUUGAGAUGGGCUUAUGGCGCAUUAGUUAGUUGGUGAGGUAACGGCUCACCAAGACGAUGAUGCGUAGCCGACCUGAGAGGGUGACCGGCCACACUGGGACUGAGACACGGCCCAGACUCCUACGGGAGGCAGCAGUAGGGAAUUUUCGGCAAUGGGGGAAACCCUGACCGAGCAACGCCGCGUGAGUGAAGAAGGCCUUCGGGUCGUAAAGCUCUGUUGUAAGGGAAGAACAGUUGGGAGAGGGAAUGCUCUCAACCUGACGGUACCUUACCAGAAAGUGACGGCUAACUACGUGCCAGCAGCCGCGGUAAUACGUAGGUCACAAGCGUUAUCCGGAAUUAUUGGGCGUAAAGGGAGCGCAGGCGGUUUAUCAAGUUUGUGGUUAAAGUUCGGGGCUUAACCCCGUGAUGCCACAGAAACUGGUAGACUAGAGUGCAGGAGAGGUGAGUGGAAUUCCAUGUGUAGCGGUAAAAUGCGUAGAUAUAUGGAGGAACACCAGUGGCGAAGGCGGCUCACUG
rnacentral:rRNA from 1 species